AUCAUGGAUGCAGGCAAUGAUGUGAUGGGAAGCAGAGAGCCUCUCUAAAGUGGAGAUGGAUGAAACUGACUGAUUCAGCUGGAUAAGUUUAAUGCAUCGGCCUUGAUAACUUUCAUACUAAAGAACUUAAAUUGACCACAGUCUUUGCUGAGUCACACACAAUUAUCUUCAAGAACUCACAGAGGACUUAAAUGACAUAAACUAGAAUAUAUUAUGUCUGUUCUUUCAGAAGAAGAUUAUGGGCCAUCCAGGACAUUACUGACUUACCAAAGUGGAGAAAUAGGUGAACUCAAAUGUUGGCUUUUCAAUGCCUAGAAAAUAAUGGGGUUGGAAUUGGCUGGACUUGUAUGAAUGAAAUCAUAAAAUUUGGGG
rnacentral:lncRNA from 1 species